rnacentral:lncRNA from 13 species
AGAUUGCAUUUAUAAAAAUUUUACGUUCUCGCUCUCAUCAUUCGCUCGCUCGCUCGCUCGCGCUACGUGGCUGUCAAGAUACACAUCUUGUGGACGCUUAUACCUCGAGACUACCGCAUUCGAUAACCGCAGCAGAUAUUGUUCGGGAGAGAAAUGUAAGCAGAUAGAAAUCGGAGUUGAAAUCGGUGAAAGAGGAACCUCGACCAUCAUCUCCGUGCGCGUCCGAAGAAUUUCUAUUACCUCAGAGACACACCCCUUUUCGCUCGCCUUCUUGUUUUUCUUUUUCUCUCCUCCUUUUCUUCGAAUGGCAGGAAAACCGAUGAAGGGAAAAGGUAGAAGAAAUGGGAGAGAGACAAUAAUAAAUGGCGCGGAGGUAGAGUUACGCACGACUGUGUCACAUACCGAGCGAGUUUCUUUCCAAAUGUCUCGCGAUGCUACCGGUAUAUAAACUUUAUUAUAUAAACAAUAUUUUUCUCAGAACGCUCCGAACACGCGUUAUUUUAUUAUAUUUUUGUAUCUGGAAGUCACGCUGAAACGGAUAUUCAAAUUCGACUGCGAAAUUCUCGAAUAAAUAUGAAAGUGCGCCUCUUCUCGAGGCGUUUCAAAAUAUAUCAGUCGCACGUGAUACACUUCCAGGAAUCUUACUGCCACCUCUUUGUUAGGAACGUUAUUAUUUGCGAUUUAGUCGAAGCUCUCGAAAUUGCGAUCGUACCGCGGGAAGCAGCCGCUGCUGCGAUUUCAUCCGAUUUUCAGGGGGGAUUUCGUUUCUAGCGACAAAAUUUAUUUUACUUCCUCGAUUCCAAGGUAAACCGGGAGAGCUACUUAUCGCGCCUCUUUUACGGGAUGGGAUCUAAAUUACGGUUGCGGUUUCUCGAGUCAACCGGAGAAUGUUUCUAUCCUCGGGGAUGUUUUCGAGUGGAGCGACCGGCGCAACGCGAAAUGGAUGAGGCAGAGGCGCGAAAAAAAAAAAAGAAAAACGGCGGCGGAAAGGCGUCGAAAAGCGCUUUAAUCGAAAAUUCAGUUGGUCCCUGGCAGAACAAAAAUGGUUUCAUUUCCAGCUACAUCCGGUUCUCCAAUUUAUUUUCUCGAUCCCUUCAUUCACCUGGAGAAACUAACUUGCUUCACAAUAGCACGCUUGCCCAUGUUCUAUCAGAGCAGAUCUUUUUCGUGACUUUCCGUAGACAAUAUAAACGAUAGUAUCGCACCUUGAAAAAAGUCACGGAUGAAAAAUAAAAUUAUCUUUGAAAAGCAAAAUUGUAAAAUUUGAUUCGGACUUACAGAAUCAUAGAUGGGAUUUGAUUUUAUCAAGUGUUAAGGUACAGAAUUUCGUUUAUUAAGAAGAAUAUAGAAGAAUAAACAAUAAAUGUGAAUAGAUGUGCGAUAUGUGUACCAUAAGUGGCAAGUUUAUUAUUACAUCGCGAUGGAAUAGCUGAGGCUAAAUUGAGAGACCAGCUAAUUGAUUAGCUUCUGAAACUAUGGUAUUUUACAGCUUAUGAAGAUAUCGAUUCGACUGACGGUAAACGAAACUAUUCGUCAAACUUCCCUCAAACGCUCCUUGCAAACAGUUUUCUAAUUUACGAUUAUGUGCGCCAAGCUUGCGAUAAAUUUGAUCAAAUGCGCCAUGGACCAUUUAGCUUCUAACCUACAGUUUAAAAAAAAAAAUGAAAGGAUAGUGAGCAGCAAAAUGCGAAGGAAGGGAAAGGAGCGACAGGGCUUACGAGAGACUUACGAGAGAAAUGUCGUGUAAUUCAAUUUGGAAUUCAGGAAUGUGGAAAAUUGGAGAUGGGAACGCGAUGGCUUCUCGUAAAGAAUUUGUGAACUUUUGCCAAAAAUUAGAUCAGCGUCUCGACCAUUGACAAAAAGUCAGGUAUAAAAGCUCGGAUCAAUAUUUGACGUUAAUUAUUAAUUGAAUAUCACUCCCUUCUCCAAAUAAAAAAUUUAGAUAUCGAAUCGAUUGGUCAGGAUUGAAAUAGUCGCCCUCAUAUAGGGCCAAAAUCACCACAGUUAGAAUUACCGUCAAAUCGGAGGUGUGCGUUUGAAAAAGCCCGCAUGGCGGAGAUAAUGAAGUUCACUCGGUGCCGCCCGAAUCUAGAUUGAAAAAGCUGGAAUUCCGAGCUUGAAACUGGAUGUAAUCUACUUCAGCUUUUUCUCUGCCGAUUAGAUUACACACCUGUGAUAUAUAUAUUUUUGGAAACAAACGACGUAACGCGCGCGCCGGGGACGCAUUACUAAAAAUACCACUGGCGAUCCAUGAAAAAUUCCUUUUAUACGCCCAAUUAAUUACCAAUAUUCGACUCAAACGUUUGCACCAUUGCUUAAUAAUGUAACAGGAGGCGGAAAAAAUAAUUGUGAACAUGACACAGCACAAUCACAUAAAAGUUAAUAAUACGUUUUCAACAGAAUAAAAACUUUCGCGUAGCUUUUUCCGCCAACUUUUUUCAUUUACGUCCUCGUCGGGUAUUUCGGUCGUCGCCUUCCGAUGCUAACUACACGCUGGCUCAUAUAUAUUCCAGUUGGGUGCGCGUGCACGAUAUAUAUCGCACUGCGGAGAUAAUGAAGUUUACGGUGCAGCGGAUCUGGAUCUGAGAGAUCUCGAGUCGCAAGCUUAAAGUAGCCAGGUGAUCCUCUCCGUCUGAUCCACCGGACUCUUUUUAUUUUACCCUUCUCUUUUCCUUCUCGGGAAAGAAAUUAUAAGGGCGUACUGACGGCGCCACAGAGAGGGAGAAAGAGAGAGAAAUUUUUGCGAGGUGCUAUUAUCAUCGUCUGUAAUUGGCGAGUCUGUGUGCCACUUUUAAUUGCAGUCGCGCCCGUUUCAACAGGGAACGUCUCUGGACCACCCUCCGCGGUGCCUCGUAAUCAUCGCUCAUUGAUUCGGUUUCCCAUUGCGUCCCAAAUCUACAGGGCGCGUCAAAAAUCGCUGCUGAUUAAUCACUCCGUAGACACGUUGGACGUAAAAGGGGUGAUCCGCUUUCAAGCUCUUUCACGAUUAUACGUUCUUACCGCAAAAAAAAGUCAACGGCAAUUUAAUCGAUCCUGCACCGAGAGAAAAAAUGGUUACAGUUACGCACACGCACAAUUUUAUAUUAACAGCACGUGCUCGAAAGACUGCGGAACAUAUCUGAUACUUUGUGAAAUUAUUAAUUAUUCUCAUUACAAAAGACAAGAGCUGCGCAAGUGGCAAAGCAGACGCGUACUAUUAUUCAUUGUCUAUGGUUAACAAACUGAUCAUUGCGCAGACAAGCAUAUUCAAAUGAAUUCCGGCGUAACAGGAAAAAAGGUGUUCCAAGAAAAAUGCAAGGCACGUGACAAUUUUAUAUUAGCAACGCGUGCCCAAAAGAAUGCGGAACAUAUCCGAUGCCUUGUAAGAAUUAUUAAUUCUCAUUACAAAAGACAGUAGCUACGCAAGUGGCAAAACAGGUGCGUACUAUUAUUGAUGAAUACAUUGUCUAUGGUUAACAAAUAAAUCGUUACCCAGUGGCACGGUAUAAAUGUCGCCACCACGGUGCGAUACAAACAUUCACAGUCGCAUUAGCAGUCCAAGCAUUAGCAGCGCAAGAUCUCAACAUGAGAAUAACGGUGGUGUUUUUUAUCUUGGCGAUCUUGGUGUGCACCAUGUUCCAGGAAUCUGAACAAUUUUUCAAAUACAGUAGAUGCUGCCGCCGUGGAUGCCGCCGUCGAUGCUGCCGUACAACCACUACGACGACCACUACAACGACAACGACGCAACCUCCUAAUGGUGGAAGAAGAAAGCGCGAGAUCAUAGACGUUCCAUUUGUAAUGCCAUCGGCAAUGGAAGAACAAAUGCAGACAGAAACAAUAAUGAAAUUUCAUAAAAAUUUCAUUAAAGAGUGAAAGAAAAGGAAAAUAAUAUAGUUGUAGUAUUAAACUCCUUAGUAAAAUAAACUAUCGCUUGUAGUAGUUGAAUAGCAAUAAAAAUAUAUCACGCUUAAACAUGGAUAAAUAUAUAAUAAUUGUUUAAGCUUUUCGAAAAAUAACGAAGUUGCGAAUAUAUGAGAAAGUUUUGAUAGAGAUAUAUUUAAGAACCGUCUCAUAAUUUAUAUGUAAUAUUGAAAUGCAUGUUAUAUAUUGUAAUAUAUUUUAUAAUGUAUACAUUCUUAAUACAUGUGUUCAAAUUUAACCAAUAGAAAAUUCGGCUUUUCGAAUAA